rnacentral:rRNA from 1 species
UACGUAGGUGGCAAGCGUUGUUCGGAAUUAUUGGGCGUAAAGGGCGCGUAGGCGGCGUGUCAAGUCAGGCGUGAAAGCCCCGGGCUCAACCUGGGAACCGCGCUUGAGACUGGCAUGCUCGAGUUCGGGAGAGGAUGGUGGAAUUCCCAGUGUAGAGGUGAAAUUCGUAGAUAUUGGGAAGAACACCGAUGGCGAAGGCAGCCAUCUGGACCGAUACUGACGCUGAGGAGCGAAAGCGUGGGGAGCAAACAGG